CCCAGACUCCUACGGGAGGCAGCAGUGAGGAAUAUUGGUCAAUGGGCGCGAGCCUGAACCAGCCAAGUCGCGUGAGGGAGGACGGCCCUACGGGUUGUAAACCUCUUUUGCCGGGGAGCAACGGGCGUCACGUGUGGCGCCACUGAGAGUACCCGGAGAAAAAGCAUCGGCUAACUCCGUGCCAGCAGCCGCGGUAAUACGGAGGAUGCGAGCGUUAUCCGGAUUUAUUGGGUUUAAAGGGUGCGUAGGCGGAUCUAUAAGUGAGUGGAAAAAUGGGGGGGCACACCCCCUUCCCGCCAUUGAAACUGGCGUUCUUGAGUGGAAGGGAAGUAUGCGGAAUGCGUGGUGUAGCGGUGAAAUGCAUAGAUAUUAGGAGGAACACCGGUGGCGAAGGCGGCCUGCUGGACUGUAACUGACGUUGAGGCUCGAAAGCGUGGGGAGCAAACAGGAUUAGAUACCCCCGUA
rnacentral:rRNA from 1 species